CCUACGGGUGGCAGCAGUGAGGAAUAUUGGUCAAUGGCCGGAAGGCUGAACCAGCCAAGCCGCGUGAGGGAGGAAGGCGCAGAGCGUCGCAGACCUCUUUUGCCGGGGGACAAAAGGUCGGACUCGUCCGGUCCUGAGGGUACCCGGAGAAAAAGCAUCGGAAAACUCCGUGCCAGCAGCCGCGGUAAUACGGAGGAUGCGAGCGUUAUACGGAUUCAUUGGGGUUAAAGGGUGCGCAGGCGGGCCUUUAAGACGGCGGUGAAAUCGCGGGGCUAACACCCGCCGAGCCGUCGGAACUGGGAGCCUUGAGUGCAGCGGAGGCAUGCGGAAUGCGCGGUGUAGCGGUGAAAUGCGUAGAUA
rnacentral:rRNA from 1 species